CGACCUGAGGGUGAAAGCGGGGGAUCNCAAAACCUCGCGCGAUUGGAGCGGCCGAUAUCAGAUUAGGUAGUUGGUGAGGUAAAGGCUCACCAAGCCGACGAUCUGUAGCUGGUCUGAGAGGACGACCAGCCACACUGGGACUGAGACACGGCCCAGACUCCUACGGGAGGCAGCAGUGGGGAAUUUUGGACAAUGGGCGCAAGCCUGAUCCAGCCAUGCCGCGUGCGGGAAGAAGGCCUUCGGGUUGUAAACCGCUUUUGUCAGGGAAGAAAAGGUUCUGGCUAAUACCUGGGACUCAUGACGGUACCUGAAGAAUAAGCACCGGCUAACUACGUGCCAGCAGCCGCGGUAAUACGUAGGGUGCAAGCGUUAAUCGGAAUUACUGGGCGUAAAGCGUGCGCAGGCGGUUAUGCAAGACAGAGGUGAAAUCCCCGGGCUCAACCUGGGAACUGCCUUUGUGACUGCAUGGCUAGAGUACGGUAGAGGGGGAUGGAAUUCCGCGUGUA
rnacentral:rRNA from 1 species